GUGUCAGCCGCNGNGGUAAUACCAGCUCCCCGAGUGGUCGGGGCGAUUAUUGGGCCUAAAGCGUCCGUAGCCGGCCUAGUAAGUCUCCUGUUAAAUCCAGCGAUCCAAUCGCUGGACUGGCAGGAGAUACUGCUAGGCUAGGGGGCGGGAGAGGCUGGCGGUAUUCCCGAGGGAGGGGCGAAAUCCUGAGAUCUCGGGAGGACCACCAGUGGCGAAGGCGGCCAGCUGGAACGCGCCCGACGGUGAGGGACGAAAGCCGGGGGAGCGAACCGGUUUAGAUACCCGGGUAGUCC
rnacentral:rRNA from 1 species